rnacentral:rRNA from 1 species
CACGUAGGGCGCGAGCGUUGUCCGGAAUUAUUGGGCGUAAAGGAGCUCGUAGGCGGCCUGUUGCGUCCGCUGUGAAAGCCCGGGGCUUAACCCCGGGUCUGCAGUGGAUACGGGCAGGCUAGAGGUAGGUAGGGGAGAAUGGAAUUCCCGGUGUAGCGGUGAAAUGCGCAGAUAUCGGGAGGAACACCCGUGGCGAAGGCGGCUCUCUGGCCUGUAACUGACGCUGAGGCGCGAAAGCGUGGGGAGCAAACAGG